GACGAACGCUGGCGGCGUGCCUAAUACAUGCAAGUCGAACGAGAGCGACCGGUGCUUGCCCUGGUCAAUCUAGUGGCGAACGGGUGAGUAACACGUGGGUAACCUGCCCAUCAGAGGGGGAUAACAUCCGGAAACGGAUGCUAGAACCGCAUAGGUCUUCGAGCCGCAUGGCUUGAAGAGGAAAAGAGGCGCAAGCUUCUGCUGAUGGAUGGACCCGCGGUGCAUUAGCUAGUUGGUGAGGUAACGGCUCACCAAGGCCGUGAUGCAUAGCCGACCUGAGAGGGUGAUCGGCCACAUUGGGACUGAGACACGGCCCAAACUCCUACGGGAGGCAGCAGUAGGGAAUCUUCCGCAAUGGACGCAAGUCUGACGGAGCAACGCCGCGUGAGUGAAGAAGGUUUUCGGAUCGUAAAACUCUGUUGUUAGAGAAGAACAAGUGCUAGAGUAACUGUUAGCGCCUUGACGGUAUCUAACCAGAAAGCCACGGCUAACUACGUG
rnacentral:rRNA from 1 species